rnacentral:siRNA from 1 species
GCCGAGAUGAUAGUGCCGAGCCU